CAGAACAAAUACAAUAAGCUGUAGUUUUUCUCAUGACUAUAGUGUUCCUUUAAAUAUAGAAUGCAGAGUUGUCAUAAAUGGAAAAUUUUCAAGUGGUAAGUGGUGACCCUCAGGGUUCUAUUCUGGAACCGCUUCUAUUCAACACUUUUUUACAAAUGAUUCGAGUCUUGAAAUUAGCAUUGAGUCAUGUUUCAGUGUUUGGAGAUGAUACAAAACUCUAUAUAAAGUAAUACAAUGUAAGCAGGAUAUUACUUAGCUGCAGAG